rnacentral:tRNA from 1 species
GCCUUAGUAGUAUAAAAAUUACAUUGGUCUUGUAAACCAAAAACGGAGUAUUAUCCUCCCUAAGACA